AGCCAUCCCGCGUGUGGGACGAAGGCCUUCGGGUUGUAAACCACUUUUUCUCAACGAAGAAAAGUCUUAGGCUAAUACCUUAAGAUGCUGACGGUAGUUGAGGAAUAAGCACCGGCUAACUAUGUGCCAGCAGCCGCGGUAAUACAUAGGGUGCAAGCGUUAAUCGGAAUUACUGGGCGUAAAGGGGUGCGCAGGCGGCUUGGAAAGAACGGUGUGAAAUCCCGGGGCUCAACCUCGGAACUGCACUAUUAACUAUCAAGCUAGAGUAUGUCAGAGGGGGUGGAAUUCCGCGUGUAGCAGUGAAAUGCGUAGAUAUGCGGAGGAACACCAAUGGCGAAGGCAGCCCCCUGGGAUAAUACUGACGCUCAGGCACGAAAGCGUGGGUAGCAAACAGGAUUAGAUACCCUGGUAGUCCACGCCCUAAACGAUGUCAACUAGCUGUUGGGCCGGUUACGGCUUAGUAGCGCAGCUAACGCGUGAAGUUGACCGCCUGGGGACUACGGUCGCAAGACUAAAACUCAAAGGAAUUGACGG
rnacentral:rRNA from 1 species